CUUAGAUAGUACUGUUUAUGCACCGUUUGGCCCUUCGGAAGAAAUUCCUGGUGAACCUCUAGCAUCUUUCCAAAUAUCUGAGCGUGGGUACACGGGGAAACCCAAACCCCUUGGGAAGAUGUGGUAUAUGGCUAAAUUGAGCGGA
rnacentral:ribozyme from 1 species